AUGUAUAAAUGGCUGGAAAAUCCUCUUAGUGGCUGUCACUACAGAUGGAUUUGGAAGGCUAAAAGCCCCCUCAAAAUAGAAAAUUCCCUCUGGCAGUUAUCUCAUGAUGCUGUUUUGACUAGACAGGUCAUGAAGGAGAGGAGAUGGCCUGGGAACCCCAAGUGCUCUUUUUGUAAUGAUCUAGAAUCAUCUCCACAUUUGUUUUUCACAUGUCCUGUGGCUAGAGUUGUUUGGCGAUGCGUUGGGAUGGCGUUGGGUACUGAUAUGUGCCCGAGCAGUUACUGGCAGUAUUUCUCCUGGUGCCACACGUUCCUCCCUGGAGGGAAUUACCAUACUGUGGGCCUCGCUGCCACUUGCUGGGCCAUCUGGCUAGCUCAGAACCGAGCUACCUUUGAAUAAAAGCAGAUCAAAACACCCUUUGAGAUUGCUUUCUCCAUGUGUUCCUUUUUGUUGUAUUGGGCAGGUCUGCAACAAGGGGAAGGAGUCAAGGAGUUGCGCAGCGGGGCGGAGUUGGUCAGGUCGAGCACGGUGAGUUUGAAGAAGAUGUGCGAUGCUGCGAGGAGACCAAUCGAAGGGGAAUGA
rnacentral:rRNA from 1 species